rnacentral:rRNA from 1 species
CCUACGGGGGGCAGCAGUGGGGAAUAUUGCACAAUGGGCGCAAGCCUGGUGCAGCCAUGCCGCGUGUGUGAAGAAGGCCUUCGGGUUGUAAAGCACUUUCAGCGGGGAGGAAGGCGGUGAGGUUAAUAACCUCAUCGAUUGACGUUACCCGCAGAAGAAGCACAGGCUAACUCCGUGCCAGCAGCCGCGGUAAUACGGAGGGUGCAAGCGUUAAUCGGAAUUACUGGGCGUAAAGCGCACGCAGGCGGUCUGUCAAGUCGGAUGUGAAAUCCCCGGGCUCAACCUGGGAACUGCAUUCGAAACUGGCAGGCUAGAGUCUUGUAGAGGGGGGUAGAAUUCCAGGUGUAGCGGUGAAAUGCGUAGAGAUCUGGAGGAAUACCGGUGGCGAAGGCGGCCCCCUGGACAAAGACUGACGCUCAGGUGCGAAAGCGUGGGGAGCAAACAGGAUUAGAUACCCCAGUAGUC